UGCUAAGUCCUAGUAAGUACCAUAAGAGCACCAAAUUCUGUCUAAUCUUGGAAGCUAAGUAUGGUCUGCUCUGGUUAGUACUUGAAUAAGAGACUCCCAACGAAUACAAGGUGACUGUGUGU
rnacentral:rRNA from 1 species